AAACCAUGAUGAGGGCAGUCUCUCUCAUAGUCCUUGAAUCGCCCAGGCUUCAUAGAAUGAUUAUAUUGGGCCUUGUUGGAAACUUUGUAUCUUAUUUCUCAGCU
rnacentral:snoRNA from 1 species